rnacentral:lncRNA from 1 species
GAGGGUUUGGUUUCACUGUGAAGGGGGCGUGCCGCUGCCAGGGAUUUCUCACUUUAUUUUUUUCAAAUGCUGCUGCCAAGCCUCAGAUUCACAUUUCCUAGCUUCCCCCUUGCUCUUUAUAAUUGAUGACGCUGGGGACAGUCAAGUGAUUGCAUACUGGCUGCACUUCAACACAUCCUCUGAUAAAAAGGAGAGGAAAAUGAAGUCAUGCUAGAUUCCACAUCACUUUUUUGUUCCAGGAUGUACUUCCCUAGACUGGAGCAGCUCCCUGGGACUCUGCCAUGCAAUGGGGCACGUGCAACCAGCCAAGCUACCCCCGCCAGGGCAUUUACACACCAACUC